rnacentral:snRNA from 15 species
GUCUCUUCGGAGACAUCUAAUAAAAUUGGAAUGAUAUAAAGAAGAUUAGCAUGAGGAUGACACGCACAAAUUGAGAAAUGAUCUAAAUUUAA